rnacentral:misc_RNA from 1 species
AAAUUAAAAAAAAAAAAAAGAAAAGAAAAGAAAGAUUAGAAAUCUUUCUUUAAUUAAAAAUCUAUGAAAAGUCUGCAUCUUGAGAAGAGGGAGAAAAUGGAGGAGAAAUAUAUAGGAGAGCGAUUGCCCCGUAAUCUGUACUCUGUAGCCAUGUAAGAUUUGUCGUUUUCAAUGGAUUUGAUCAAUCGGUGGGCAUGAGUUGCCAGGCUGUAAAUUGGAGCAGACAGCUUGCGUGUAUGUAAAAGGUUUCAGUUUGAUUUUAA